GCUCGCGUCUCCGUCGACAUCAACGUCCUCCACCGCAAGGAUUUUCGGGACUACGAGUCCUUCAUCGUCCGGGGGUAAGUAAACCCUAAUUCUCUAAACCCUAAUCUAAUCUGAUUCCUUGAUUUUUUCAAUCUGAUUUUGGUUGUUAGUGGUUUUGGUUUUCUAAUCAAGGGAUAAGGGUGAGUUGUUGUCAACUGGGGAUGAAGGGGAUUAGACGAGAAAGGAAAAAAGAAGAAGAAGAAGGAACAAGGACAACGAACAGAGGAGGAGAAAGGGAGAGAAGAAAAGAAAAGAAGAAGAUGGGAAGGGAGAAAGAGGUAGAGAUUUUGGGCUCGAUGAUGAGUAGGUCUUAUGGAGAGUUUCUGUUCUAAAAUAGGAUUUUGGUCUAGGAGUUUCGGGUACUGCAACUAGGAAGAUGUGAGAAUUUGAUCUCAUGAUCAUGGAAUUUCACCAUCGAAAUUCCGGAUGUUGGAGAAUUGAAAGAAGUUGGGCAGAACUUCUAGAGCCUUGUUUUCAUUCUAGUUCUGGUCCUAUUUAGGAUUUGAGAUUGAAACUUUCACAUAAGGGUUUCUGUACUAGUGCAGCUGCUAAAGUCUCCAGCUCCAGUGGUGCUCAACCAAGCAAUGGCACAGAUUUUUGGAUGGCCACAGAAGAAUUUAGUUGCUUUGAUUCCUCUAAGAAAGGAUGAUGAUGUAGAAAGCCAGAUUGGAGCAGGGUGUCUUAAUGUGAAGGUCAUAUGAACGGUUCACCACACCCGAGGAGAGUUGAUAUGAUCUCCAACCUAUUGCAGCUAUGUGUAACUA